rnacentral:rRNA from 1 species
GAUGAACGCUAGCGACAGGCCUAACACAUGCAAGUCGAGGGGCAGCACGAAGUAAGCUUGCUUACUUUGGUGGCGACCGGCGCACGGGUGCGUAACAGGUGUGCAAUCUGUCCAUAAUCGGGGAAUAGCCCAGCGAAAGUUGGAUUAAUGCUCCAUGUGAGUUUUAGAGGCAUCUCUUUAACUUGAAACGCAAGGAUUAUGGGUGAGCACGCUUCUGAUUUAGGUAGUUGGUGAGGUAACGGCUCACCAAGCCGACGAUCAGUAGGGGUUCUGAGAGGAAGGUCCCCCCACAUUGGAACUGAGACACGGUCCAAACUCCUACGGGAGGCAGCAGUGAGGAAUAUUGGUCAAUGGGCGAAGCCUGAACCAGCCAAGUCGCGUGAAGGAUGAAGGUUC